rnacentral:rRNA from 1 species
UACGUAGGGCGCAAGCGUUGUCCGGAAUUAUUGGGCGUAAAGAGCUCGUAGGCGGUUUGUCGCGUCGGGAGUGAAAACUCAGGGCUUAACCCUGAGCCUGCUUCCGAUACGGGCAGACUAGAGGUAUGCAGGGGAGAACGGAAUUCCUGGUGUAGCGGUGAAAUGCGCAGAUAUCAGGAGGAACACCGGUGGCGAAGGCGGUUCUCUGGGCAUUACCUGACGCUGAGGAGCGAAAGUGUGGGGAGCGAACAGG